rnacentral:lncRNA from 1 species
UGGAGGUGGGAUGUUGAGUUCAAGAUCUGGCCUUGACAAAAUCUACCAUUAGAGGCAGACUCAAGAUCUCCAAAGUGGAGAAUGAGUUCUUCCACAAGAACCUUAAAGAUAUGCACUAUUCUAAAAAAAAUAUUUUUUAAUCUCUCUCUCCCUAAUAGCUUCUCGAGGGAACCAACAAAUAGAAAGAGGGAAGAAGGAAACAAAAUAGAUCAAACACAAGAAGAACAACAGAUCCAAACAACAACAACUAUAACGAAAAUAAUAAAUUAAAAAAUGAAAUACAAUUAAAAACACAAAUUUGGUAUGAAGAGGUGUGCACAACGACAUCAAGGUAGGCGUGGUGACCCUCACCAACGAUUAGAUAAAUCGCGGAACACCAAGGUGUGUGUGGUGAAACUUCUAAACAAAGGAGGUGGGGGCAGAAGAGGUGGAGGCUGAGGUGCAAAGAAAAAAGGAAAGUAG